rnacentral:lncRNA from 1 species
UGCUUGCUUGGUUGGUUUCCUGAACUUGUAUGAGCUAGCUGUAAUAAGUUGCAAACACUUCAGUUUUUUACCAUUUUAUUUUUGCUAUGUGAGGACGGAGCUUCCAAAAAAUUCCUUUCGGAGUUAAUUUUCUCAGUUUUAUAAACCCGGGUAGCUCUUUAUUAUUGCUUUAAAUUUGUAGUUCUCGUUUCAAGUUAUGAUUUUUAAUUCUCUAUUAAAUAUUUUUAUUAUAUUGAUGCUUUAUCACAUUGCCUUUUGUGAUGUAAUAUAUAGACCAUACAUAGUGCAAUUAUUAGAUUCUAAGUCAUACCUUUCGCCCUACUGCCGCGCAUAGGCUGGACGGAACAUCAAUCAUCUCUGGUUCGAGCAUGGCCACGGGUUGCAGGGGAGGAAUCGGAGUGACAAGAAUGGCUGCGAGAUGCAAACACAUUGCAGGACGAGUUGGAUGCUUUCUUCAGACCCUCCCUGUAGUGAUUUUGUUCACGUAAACUUUUUACUGUAGUGGAUUCUGCAAUGGUAUGUUCACGUAACUAAGCUUUUUACUGUAGUGGAUUCUGCAAUGGGACUUUAUUUUUGUUGACUGAUUCAUGUGUAGUUGAAUGCUUCAGGUUUUGUUGCCUUUCAGUCCACUUGCUAAACUGUAAAGGGCAUUACACGAGGACUGAGUCCACUUGCUAAACUGUGAAGGGCAUUACACAAGGACUGAUGGCGAUGUUAUAUUCUUAUAGGUCAUUCUUGAUAGGUACGGCUAUUAUUUAGCAUGCUUCCUUUGUAUCCCAAAGGCAUGCAUGUAUGUUUUAUUCCUUACACUGAUCCACAAACAUGACAAUAAUUAAAAUAAACGUUUCAUAAUUCUGAUCAUUGCUGGGUAUGGAUGGCAGAUUUCCUAUGACUAAAACAUGAUGCACUUGUAUAUUUCUAAUCUAUAUGAGUUAUGUUUGCCCCAGUUCGGGAUAUAUAUAGCUAUAUAUUGCAUAAGUGCAUGUUUCUAUUAAGAUAAAUUUAUAAUUAGAUUGCCAAAGUACCAGUAUCUGUUAUAUACUCUGUUACUGGUAGCAGAGAGUACAAUUAGAAGUUAUUAUAUCCAAUUACCUUUUGUUUGCAUAUUACUUUUACUGUCCAUUUGAUACUGUUUGGAGCUUGCUUUACUCUCAUCUAUAAUUACUUUCUUAAUGAUUCUUUCUUAUGUAGGGUAAAUUAGAGAUUCUACUAACACUCUGUCUGGAGUAUCUUUAAUGGAGCACAACAGGUUAAAUGUGUUUAUAUGUCUGCCUAGCCAAGUGGCUGGUUUCUCAGCUCCUCUGUUUAAUCUAUAAGUGGGCCUUCAUGCUUAUUAGCUAAGUGACCAAUGUUUUGACUUAUUCCUAUUUUAGGAAUAAAUGGAUUGCUAGACAUACAUAGUUGUAUUUUCCGUGCGUUUUAGGCAUUCUUCUCAUACAUUCCUUGUGUUUCUCCCUUUUUAAGGUUCUCUGUUGAUCUAGACUGCUUCGUAAAUUGUG